GAUUUUAUAGUUUAUUAAGAAUAUUAGAUUGCAAAUCUGAAGGUAUAUUUAUUAAAAUUU
rnacentral:tRNA from 1 species